rnacentral:rRNA from 1 species
UAAACGACUCUCGGCAACGGAUAUCUCGGCUCUUGCACCGAUGAAGAACGUAGCGAAAUGCGAUACUUGGUGUGAAUUGCAGAAUCCCGUGAACCAUCGAGUCUUUGAACGCAAGUUGCGCCUGAAGCCAUUAGGUUGAAGGCACGUCUGCCUGGGCGUCACGC